GUCUACGGCCAUAUCACCCUGGACAUGCUCGAUCUCGUCUGAUCUCGGAAGCUAAGGAGAAUAGAACAAAAGCUACAGAUGUUUACACCCUAUUUGGCAAGUAUAUAUAAGGACAGGAUUGUGAGUUUUAGUUU
rnacentral:rRNA from 1 species